GCCAGCCUGCUCACCCGCCCCUUGUCUCCCCACAGGUACGUGUCGCCAGAGCGAGCCAAGGCCGCUGCUGCCUCCUCGCUGCCCAGCCAGGGCUUGGCCGCCGAGGCUGCGCCCGCGCAGACGCUCCUGGGGGACGCGGCGGCACCGGUGCUGGCGGGGGCGGCCGGCCAGCCCCGCCUGGCCCAGAACAGGCCCCCGCCGCCCGCCAAGAAAGCCAGCACCGACCUGCUGGCCGACAUCGGGGGGGACCCGUUCGCCGCCCCCCAGCCGGCGCCUGCCUUUGCCGCCUUCCCGGCCUUCCCCGGCCAGGCCCCGGCCCACGCUGCCUUCGCCAACUUCGACGCCUUCGGAGCCGGCCCAGGAGCGCCCGCCUUCGGGGGGGCCGCGGCCCCUUUCCACCCCCUCCCCGCGCCCACAGGUACCUCCGGGGCUCCAGGACUAACGGGGAGGGGUCCAGGGUGUCCCCCCCAAAGGGAUUAAUGGGGGGGCUCGGGGGGCUCCCCCCUGCCCUGCCCCCACCCCGGACACCUGGGCUCCCCCUUGUCUCCCGCAGGGGGCGCUGCUGUGCCAGGUGGCCCCGCCCCCGCCAGGAUGCCCGAGGUGGGCGGAGCCAGUGUC
rnacentral:lncRNA from 1 species